AUUUUAAUGGCAAUCCUUAAAAACCUAAAAGCCUUAGAAACCAGAAGAAAUCAAUGUUUAAUGAUGGAACUUGAAACAUUGUGACAAAGGAGAAGGAGCUGAAAGGAAUUUUUGGACAUCACUGAGUGCAACCAAUUCAUCUUCUGCAUGAGCAAGCUUAGAAGGAGAGAGAGAAACGACAGGUGUCACACUACAGCCCCAGGUUUCCUAACACAAACUCCAGGAAAAGAAUCAUAUUGACUCACCUAGUAAUCUGCCAAGCCCUGUCAGAGGCUACGGACGUUCCUAUUCCACUUUUCAAAGCCUGUCAAAGAUGACAAAGAUGACAAACAAGUGGGUCUUGGUCUCACUGUUGCCUAGGCUAUCUUGAACUCCUGGGCUCAAGGAACCCUCCUGCCGCAGCAUCCUGAGAAGCUGAGACUACAGGUAUGUACCACCU